rnacentral:tRNA from 1 species
UCCCUGGUGGCUUAGAGGUUAAAAGCGUCUGACUGCAAUGCAGGAGACCUGAGUUCGAUCCCUGGGUUGGGAA